CUUCUGGGCUACUGUGAACGUUCCGCUAGUUCCUCCCCUCUCCCCUCUUCACCUUAACUCUUACUCAUCCUUCAGGUUUCAACCAAGAUGUCACUUCCACCAGAAAACCUCCCUGGCCUUCUCUCACCUGCUCCCAGAAUGCCAGUGCCUUCCUGUGUUUCCAUUUCCAUACCAGGUUACCACCCCUCACUGCCACUGCACUGUCAGUCCUGACACGGCAGGAUCCAUGUCUGUCUCCAUUACCGCUUUACUCCUAACCGCAGCAUAGCAGGGUCCACGUUACCACCUACAAGGACACAGGGCCCCCGAGUAAGGGGUGUGGUGCACGCAAAGCCCACAUCGCGUGGCUCUCUCCCAGCUCCCAUGCCCCCGGCACUUGCAUCAGGUCCUCACAGGCCCACCAGGGAUGGGCAUGCAGCUAAGAACAGUGCUUCACACACAUGACCGUGGUGCAUGACAGCCAGGACCACCAUCUGCCGCAGAGACGCUAACGGACCCUUCCUCACCUCUUGCUGCACCAAGGUUGGCAACAACACCGAGCCCAGCACCCGUGGCUGUGGACCCGUCUGCCGCGCUGAGGGGUCUCGAUGCACUGAGAAGCCCAGAGCCUGAUGACAGAGCUCUUGAGACCUCAGGGACACCAAGGAAGACGUGCAGUGACUUGGAGCCACCUCCCACUGCUGCAACUCAUUUUGAAUUCUUUAAAGAAACAUAAAAGCAAAUAGGAUUUUAAAGAGCAACAAAGUGAAGGUGCUAAUCCCCAGAGCCCGCUGUGGAGCCCUUGACUGCUGGCCACUUCGAAGUCCUGCAGAGAAAGGCUGUGCCAGAGAAAAAAAGCUUCGAGGUGAGCAUGAAAACAGCCAAAGCCACAGCAGUGGGGUCUAUACCACCGAGGAUGCUGGCUCCAGAGCCAAGAUAACCGGCCCCCACCCAUGAGCACAAGCAGUUUAAAGCGACCACUUUUGAAAUGGGCACCAUCAAACUUCCCUGUUGAAAAUGAAAAUUAUGUAAUCCGAGAAAGCAAUCUGGCAAAACUUACUUGAAGCCCUAAAAAAUUCUAUUAAUUUAUUAGACAUUACCUACUAAGGAAAUGAAGCAUGCCCACAAAAAUAUGUAUUGCCAAAAGUUUUUGUUGCAAGUUUUUUUUUUUGUUUUUUGUUUUUUGUUUUUAAAUUUGAGACAGGAGACAGAGUUUUGCUCUUGUUGCCCAGGCUGAAGUACAGUGGUACCAUCCUGCAACCUCUGCCUCCCAGGUUGGUUCAAGUGAUUCUCCUGCCUCAGCAUCCCGAGUAGCUGGGAUUACAAGCGUGCGCCACCACACCUGGCUGAUUUUUGUAUUUUUAGUACAGACAGGCUUUCACCAUGUUGGCCAGGCUGGUCUCAAACUUCUGACCUCAAGUGAUCCGCCCUUCUUGGCCUCCCAAAGUGCUGGGCUUAAAGGCGUGUGUUGUAAGUUCUUUUACAAUAACAAAAAUUAUAAAAUGCACAACCAUAAACUGACUAAGUAAAAUAUGCAAUAUUUGUAAGAAGCACCAUACUAUGGAUAUUAAACAUGCCACAGCUGUGUGUGGUGGCUCAUGCCUGUAAUCCCAGCACGUUGGGAGGCCAAGGUGGGAGGGAUCCCUUGAGUCCAGGAGUCUCAAGCAACGAGACCAUCCUGGGCAAGAUGGCGACAGACCCUGUUUCUACAAAAAAAUUUAAAAAUUAAAAAAUUAGGGUGUGUUGGCGCGUGCAUACAGUUCCAGCGACUCCAGAGGCUGAAGCAGGAGGAUCACUUGAGGUCAGGAGUUCAAGGUUACAGUGAGCUACAAUGGCACCACUGUACUCCAGUCUGGGUGACAGAAUGAGAUUCCAUCUCUAAAAUAAAUGAAUAAUUAAUUAACUUAAGUAAACUGGGAAAAAAGAAUCAGUCUGGAUUCAAUGAAGACUUUUGCUGCUCAAAAUAAAUAGGACAAAGAUGCCAGAGCUUGGAUGGAACUACUUCUCUGAAAUAGAUUUACUACAACAUGGAAAAUCAUAUGAAAGUCAUCAAUCAUAGGAAAAAAAUGUCAGUUGAGUCAAAGCAGAAGAAAGAACAGAAAGGAUAAAAAUGAAAACUGCAACAGACUAAAGUCAUUGUUGGAGAAAGGCUAUUUUUAAAAAGACUUAACAGUUAAAAAAAUUAAAUUCCUGAAAUAGGAGACAAUGAAGCAAAACAGCGAGCUUUGGAGGGGAAUACAGAAAGGAAGAGAGCCUUCACUAAGAACAGCCACGUGCCAGACACGGCCCAGGUGCUUUACUCCCCCUGACAGCAUGCGACGGCACAGGUUCCCCUUUCCAGAUUAAGAAACUGAGGCUGAACUGAGGAACUGCUCCUUCCAGUGCAUGGGUAGGAGUCCCAAGCCUUGGGCUCACUUCAAGGUGGGGAAGCUGAAUGGGAAUCAUCCCCAAAGCGGGGCUAAAGUAAGCCCGGACUGGCAGCACCCCAGGCUUCUGGAAACAACAAAUGCAAAUCCUCUCUGACAAAAACCUUCCUCAGUUGGCCUACAGAGUCCCCACAGGUUAGGGGGAAUUUGGAGAUAAUUUAAGCUAUUGUUUCCCAAGAUAUCUAAAGAUAUCCCAAGAGAAAGGAUUUCUCUCCUAUACAUCUGAAGAGGUACAAGCUAUGUUCCGUCCUUGAGAAAACUGAAAACGUUGUUAAUUCAUUUUCUGUAGGGCUUAAUUAUCUCACAAAACCCUAGUUGAGAAAACGAGGAUGUGAUGUUUAAUACUGAGUGUCAACUUGAUUGGAUUGAAGGAUACAAAGUAUUGAUGCUGGGUGUGUCUGUGAGGGUGUUGCCAAAAGAGAUUAACACGAGAGUCAGUGGGCUGCGGAAGGCAGACCCACCCUUCAUCUGGUAGGCACCAUCUAAUCAGCUGCCAGCGAAUGUCAACCAGAAAAACGUGAAAAGGAGACGACGGGCCUCACCUCCCAGCCUACAUCUUUCUCCCAUGCUGGAUGCUUCCUGCCCUCGAACAUCGGACUCCAAGUUCAGCUUUGAGACUCGGAAUGGCUCUCCGUGCUCCUCAGCUUGCAGACAGCCUAUUGUGGGACCUUGUGAUCGUGUGAGUUAAUACUUAAUAACCUCCCAUACAUAU